GACGAAUCGUGCGAACGUUGUUCGGAAUCACUGGGCUUAAAGGGCGCGUAGGCGGCAGUUCAAGUCCGGGGUGAAAUCCUCCAGCUCAACUGGAGAAGUGCCUUGGAUACUGGAUUGCUCGAGGGAGGUAGGGGUCGAGGGAACUUCUGGUGGAGCGGUGAAAUGCGUUGAUAUCAGAAGGAACGCCGGUGGCGAAAGCGCUCGACUGGACCUCUUCUGACGCUGAGGCGCGAAAGCUAGGGGAGCAAACGGG
rnacentral:rRNA from 1 species